AGCUUCGUGCAGUGGCAGUAUCAUAGCCAGUGAGGUUCAUCCGAGGCAUGAUUAUUGCUAAUUAAAAACUGAGUAGCUCAGUUCCCUAAAAGUAAAAAAUUGUUCUAGCUCCAUGUUAUUUAUUUGCUAAGUUUUGUACAUUACUUUAA
rnacentral:snRNA from 1 species